GCCUGGGUGGCUCAGUCGGUUAAGUGUCUGACUUCAGCUCAGGUCAUGAUCUCACAGUUUGUGGGUUCAAGCCCCACCUCAGGCU
rnacentral:tRNA from 2 species